rnacentral:rRNA from 1 species
GACGAACGCUGGCGGCGUGCUUAACACAUGCAAGUCGAGCGAUGAAGCUUCUUCGGAAGUGGAUUAGCGGCGGACGGGUGAGUAACACGUGGGUAACCUGCCUCAUAGAGGGGAAUAGCCUUUCGAAAGGAAGAUUAAUACCGCAUAAGAUUGUAGUACCGCAUGGUGCAGCAAUUAAAGGAGUAAUCCGCUAUGAGAUGGACCCGCGUCGCAUUAGCUAGUUGGUGAGGUAACGGCUCACCAAGGCGACGAUGCGUAGCCGACCUGAGAGGGUGAGCGGCCACAUUGGGACUGAGACACGGCCCAGACUCCUACGGGAGGCAGCAGUGGGGAAUAUUGCACAAUGGGGGAAACCCUGAUGCAGCAACGCCGCGUGAGUGAUGACGGUCUUCGGAUUGUAGAGCUCUGUCUUCAGGGACGAUAAUGACGGUACCUGAGGAGGAAGCCACGGCUAACUACGUGCCAGCCGCCGCGGUAACAC